AUAAAUUCACUGUAAACCACGGCUUCUUGGGGCUUAUUGCUUUAAUUGUAGUUUUGGUUCACCACUAUCAAAGUUAACGCAACUAUAGAACCCCAGAAAUGUGAAAAGGGUCCAAAGGAAUCUACAUGAUUGUGAAUUUUAUGUGAGGGUGAAAAUUUUGCAAAUUCCACAAGGGUUUGAAGUUGAUCGUGCUGAUUCAUAGCAUUGACCAACAGAAAGCUGCUUAGUUUAAAAGUGGCUUCUGUGCGAGCGAUGUAGACAUUGUUAUUACAGCAGUUUGAGGUGAACAAUACACAAGAACACAAAGCACUUAGACCAAAAGUAUUACAAAUGUAGAGUUUAAUAAAUAUCUAUGUAUUUCUGACAUUCUGAUAAGGACUGCGGCAGGCUUCACAGUACAGACUGUGUUCUUCCACUGAUAUGCUAAGCUGAGGAGGGUGAUUUACAGGCAGAUUUGUACAUUAGUUCGGUAAGCGGGGGUGAAGAGGGCUGUACAUUGUUGGACAAUGUGCACUGAUCAACUUAUCACCUUUGAAUCUACCUGUUCACACAUCCCUGGUUCAUCGUUGACUACCUUUAUUAUCUGGUAUUGUUUUAAUGAACACACAUGUGAUUAUCUAAAGGGAAUGAUUAAAUGCAUGCUCUGUCACUCCAGAUUGCUGGUUUUCACAGGAUGAUGUAAAUGGGUGAUAUAGUAACCUAAAUGUUCAAAACAGAUGACUGAGAAAAAGCGGAGAAAUCUUCAGUUCAGUUUGUCACCGUUAUAACUUUGUGGCUUCUUUGUAUCAUUAGUUC